CAUGAGUUGUUAAUGUGUGCACGGAAGCCACAAGUGUGCAGGACGCAAGCUGGGUUAUUGGAAGCGGACGACACCAAGGAGGCGUUGCCGCGGAUGUGGUGGACGAUGCCAAGUCGUCUUUUAAAAAAGGAAGUGAAGAAUGAUUAAGAGGGUCACGCCCUCUACCACUCCAACCUCUCUAAUCAGUCUCUUUCUGCUCCGUCUGCUGUACAUGCACCUGCUCAGGUGAGACCUCAAGGAAAAAUAAUCCUGUGGGUCCACCUAAUCUGACAACCACAGUUGCUAACAGUAUGAGUUCUGCAGUUAUACAGAACUAAGUCCAUUAGCUGUGUGACCCAUGGCCAAAUAUUUUCCUUCUCUGUGCCUGCAUUUCUUCAUCUGCAAACUGGAAUAAUGAUAGCAACUACUUCAGAGGACUAUAUAAAUGCAUAAAGAAAAUGUAGUAUACAAUGGAAUUAUUCAUCCUUAAAAAAAAGAAAAUCCUGCCAUUUGAGACAACAUGGAUGAACCUGAAGGACAUUAUGCUAAGAG
rnacentral:lncRNA from 10 species